rnacentral:rRNA from 1 species
AACGAACGCCGGCGGCGUGCCUAACACAUGCAAGUCGAGCGAGAAAGUUCCUUCGGGAACGAGUAAAGCGGCGCACGGGUGAGUAACACGUAGGUAACCUGCCCCUUAGUCUGGAACAACUAGAGGAAACUCUAGCUAAUGCCGGAUGAGACCACGGUCCCUUCGGGGACUGCGACCAAAGAUGGCCUCUACUUGUAAGCUAUCGCUGAGGGAUGGGCCUGCGGGCCAUUAGCUUGUUGGUGAGGUAACGGCUCACCAAGGCUGUGAUGGCUAGCUGGUCUGAGAGGAUGACCAGCCACACUGGGACUGAGACACGGCCCAGACUCCUACGGGAGGCAGCAGUGGGGAAUAUUGCGCAAUGGGCGAAAGCCUGACGCAGCGACGCCGCGUGGGUGAUGAAGGCCUUCGGGUCGUAAAGCCCUGUCGCAGGGGAAGAAUAAGCAUCGGGAUAAUACCCCGGUGCCCUGACGGUACCCUGCAAGAAAGCACCGGCUAACUCCGUGCCAGCAGCCGCAGUAACAC